CAGAGGGGGCAAGCGUUAUUCGGAAUUAUUGGGCGUAAAGGGCGCGUAGGCGGCCUUGCAAGUGACGGGUGAAAUCCCUCGGCUUAACCGAGGAACUGCCUGUCAAACUGCAUGGCUUGAGACCGGGAGAGGUGAGUGGAAUUCCCAGUGUAGCGGUGAAAUGCGUAGAUAUUGGGAGGAACACCAGUGGCGAAGGCGGCUCACUGGACCGGUACUGACGCUGAUGCGCGAAAGCGUGGGGAGCAAACAGGAUUAGAUACCCUGGUAGUCCACGCCGUAAACGAUGAGUGCUUGGUGUAGCGGGUAUCGACCCCUGCUGUGCCGAAGUCAACACAUUAAGCACUCCGCCUGGGGAGUACGGUCGCAAGGCCG
rnacentral:rRNA from 1 species